GACGAAGGGGGCUAGCGUUGUUCGGAUUUACUGGGCGUAAAGCGCACGUAGGCGGAUUGUUAAGUCGGGGUGAAAUCCUGGAGCUCAACUCCAGAACUGCCUUCGAUACUGAGAGUCUCGAGUCCGAGAGAGGUGAGUGGAACUGCGAGUGUAGAGGUGAAAUUCGUAGAUAUUCGCAAGAACACCAGUGGCGAAGGCGGCUCACUGGCUCGGUACUGACGCUGAGGUGCGAAAGCGUGGGGAGCAAACAGG
rnacentral:rRNA from 1 species